rnacentral:rRNA from 1 species
AUUGAACGCUGGCGGCAGGCCUAACACAUGCAAGUCGAGCGGGGUUUUCGGACCUAGCGGCGGACGGGUGAGUAAUGCGUAGGAAGCUACCCGAUAGAGGGGGAUACCAGUUGGAAACGACUGUUAAUACCGCAUAAUGUCUACGGACCAAAGUGUGGGACCUUCGGGCCACAUGCUAUCGGAUGCGCCUACGUGGGAUUAGCUAGUUGGUGAGGUAAUGACUCACCAAGGCGACGAUCCCUAGCUGGUUUGAGAGGAUGAUCAGCCACACUGGAACUGAGACACGGUCCAGACUCCUACGGGAGACAGCAGUGGGGAAUAUUGGACAAUGGGCGCAAGCCUGAUCCAACCAUGCCGCGUGUGUGAAGAAGGCCUUCGGGUUGUAAAGCACUUUCAGUAGGGAGGAAGCGUUGUGUGUUAAUAGUACACAGCGUUGACGUUACCUACAGAAGAAGCACCGGCUAACUCUGUGCCAGCAGCCGCCGUAAAAC